GACAGAGGUGCCAAGCGUUAGGCGGAAUCACUGGGCUUAAAGCGUGUGUAGGCGGAUCGUUAAGUACCUUGUGAAAUCCCACGGCUCAACCGUGGAACUGCUGGGUAUACUGGCGAUCUUGAGCCACCUAGGGGCGAGCGGAACAAGCGGUGGAGCGGUGAAAUGCGUAGAUAUCUGGAGGAAUACCGGUGGCGAAGGCGGCAUCCUGGACCAUUACUGACGCUGAGGCGCGAAAGCUAGGGGAGCAAACGGG
rnacentral:rRNA from 1 species